rnacentral:rRNA from 1 species
AGUGAACGCUGGCGGUAGGCCUAACACAUGCAAGUCGAACGGCAGCACAGUAAGAGCUUGCUCUUACGGGUGGCGAGUGGCGGACGGGUGAGGAAUACAUCGGAAUCUACUUUUUCGUGGGGGAUAACGUAGGGAAACUUACGCUAAUACCGCAUACGACCUACGGGUGAAAGCAGGGGAUCUUCGGACCUUGCGCGAUUGAAUGAGCCGAUGUCGGAUUAGCUAGUUGGCGGGGUAAAGGCCCACCAAGGCGACGAUCCGUAGCUGGUCUGAGAGGAUGAUCAGCCAAACUGGAACUGGGACACGGCCCAGACUCCUACGGGAGGCAGCAGUGGGGAAUAUUGGACAAUGGGCGCAAGCCUGAUCCAGCCAUACCGCGUGGGUGAAGAAGGCCUUCGGGUUGUAAAGCCCUUUUGUUGGGAAAGAAAAGCAGCAGGUUAAUACCCCGCUGUUCUGACGGUACCCAAAGAAUAAGCACCGGCUAACUUCGUG